UGAAGUACACGAAGCCAUUUAAUUGCUUUUGCCUAAAGAGUUACUAGGAAUUUUCUUCAUCUCUUUUUCAUUCAACAGAAAUUCGUUUGCCUUUGGUCAUUUCCAAGUUAGGCAGAUCAUCACGCCACAAUCAAUGGUAGACGUACACUGAUUCUGAUCAUAACCAAUUUGUUGCUUUCAUCUCGUACGUUCAAAGUCCAAUCGAAGCUUUUAUGAGUUGUUGAUUGCUAAUAAGUUGGAGCCACAGAGUGGCAUGGGAACUACUGAAGUAGAACAUAGAAAACGUUAAGGGGAUAAGAAAAC
rnacentral:lncRNA from 1 species